rnacentral:rRNA from 1 species
UACGGAGGGGGCAAGCGUUGUCCGGACUUACUGGGCGUAAAGGGUGCGUAGGUGGUGGGGUGAGUCGGCGCUGAAAGCGCCCGGCUUAACCGGGCGAGGCGUGCCGAUACGACCCGACUAGAGGACUGGAGAGGGUGGCGGAACUCCUGGUGUAGUGGUGAAAUGCGUAGAGAUCAGGAAGAACACCCGUGGCGCACGCGGCCACCUGGCCAGACCCUGACACUGAGGCACGAAGGCGUGGGGAGCGAACCGG